UGGGGAAUUUUGGACAAUGGGCGAAAGCCUGAUCCAGCAAUGCCGCGUGUGUGAAGAAGCCUUCGGGUUGUAAAGCACUUUUGUCCGGAAAGAAAUCCUUGGCUCUAAUACAGUCGGGGGAUGACGGUACCGGAAGAAUAAGCACCGGCUAACUACGUGCCAGCAGCCGCGGUAAUACGUAGGGUGCAAGCGUUAAUCGGAAUUACUGGGCGUAAAGCGUGCGCAGGCGGUUUGCUAAGACCGAUGUGAAAUCCCCGGGCUCAACCUGGGAACUGCAUUGGUGACUGGCAGGCUAGAGUAUGGCAGGAGGGGGGUAGAAUUCCACGUGUAGCAGUGAAAUGCGUAGAGAUGUGGAGGAAUACCGAUGGCGAAGGCAGCCCCCUGGGCCAAUACUGACGCUCAUGCACGAAAGCGUGGGGAGCAAACAGGAUUAGAUA
rnacentral:rRNA from 1 species